GGGCCUGUGGUGUAGCGGUUAACAUGCCUGCCUGUCACGCAGGAGAUCGCGGGUUCGAUUCCCGUCAGGCCCGCCA
rnacentral:tRNA from 9 species